AAGACUAUCUUUUCAGGGAUCAUUUCUAUAGUUUGUUACUAGAGAAGUUUCUCUAAACUUGUAGAGCACCCAAAACCACAAGGAGGAGGCACAGUGUUCUCUCCUGAGCAUGAAGCCGGGUUUUGGUGUUGCUUUUGCAGCUGCUAAUAGCCAUUGAUAAUCGUUCUUUUCUUCCUUUGGAAGAGUAAGAGGGAGGGAAUGCAGUCUGAGUAGU